ensembl:rRNA 5S_rRNA 5S ribosomal RNA
GUCUAUGGUCAUACCACCCUGAAUACUCCCAAACUUGUCUGAUCUCGGAAGCUAAGAAAGUUCAGGCCUGGUUAGUACUUAGAUGGGAGAAGGUCUUCAAUGAAGUAGUAAGAAUUAUUAUUA